AGGGGGGCACUGGAUCCUGGGCAGUGUUCCCCAGUGCCCUGGGCUCUGGGGCCUGCGCCACUGGGAUCGCUACCGGGGCCAUGCAGCCCCCU
rnacentral:pre_miRNA from 1 species